UAAUCUGCGAUAAGCGCCGGUAAGGUGAUAUGAACCGUUAUAACCGGCGAUACCCGAAUGGGGAAACCCAGUGUGAUUCGUCACACUAUCAUUAACUGAAUCCAUAGGUUAAUGAGGCGAACCGGGGGAACUGAAACAUCUAAGUACCCCGAGGAAAAGAAAUCAACCGAGAUUCCCCCAGUAGCGGCGAGCGAACGGGGAGGAGCCCAGAGCCUGAAUCAGCAUGUGUGUUAGUGGAAGCGUCUGGAAAGGCGCGCGAUACAGGGUGACAGCCCCGUACACAAAAGCGCAUGUGCUGUGAGCUCGAUGAGUAGGGCGGGACACGUGGUAUCCUGUCUGAAUAUGGGGGGACCAUCCUCCAAGGCUAAAUACUCCUGACUGACCGAUAGUGAACCAGUACCGUGAGGGAAAGGCGAAAAGAACCCCGGCGAGGGGAGUGAAAAAGAACCUGAAACCGUGUACGUACAAGCAGUGGGAGCACAGGUUUACCUGUGUGACUGCGUACCUUUUGUAUAAUGGGUCAGCGACUUAU
rnacentral:rRNA from 1 species